AUUGAACGCUGGCGGCAUGCCUUACACAUGCAAGUCGAACGGCAGCACGGGGCAACCUGGUGGCGAGUGGCGAACGGGUGAGUAAUGCAUCGGAACGUGCCAUUGAGUGGGGGAUAACGUAGCGAAAGUUGCGCUAAUACCGCAUAUUCUGUGAGCAGGAAAGCAGGGGACCGCAAGGCCUUGCGCUCUUUGAGCGGCCGAUGUCAGAUUAGCUAGUUGGUGAGGUAACGGCUUACCAAGGCGACGAUCUGUAGCGGGUCUGAGAGGAUGAUCCGCCACACUGGAACUGAGACACGGUCCAGACUCCUACGGAGGCAGCAGUGGGAAUUUUGGACAAUGGGCGCAAGCCUGAUCCAGCCAUGCCGCGUGAGUGAAGAAGGCCU
rnacentral:rRNA from 1 species